AUCUGCUGCUGCUUUCUAAUGCAAAGCUGUCACUUCUGGUCUGUGAGAAGAGACUUUAUCUUCCCAGCGCUAUCCGAGGACUGGGAAACCAGCAUUCCUCCAGCUGUUCAGAGAAGGCAACUUCCAAAACACAGUUCAUUCAGAGGAACUGCAUGUGUUGUUCAUCAUAGUAUCAGGACAGUGUUUGGAAAUAAGGCAAGCAUAUAGGAAAGGGAACAGUUAAUACCCGUUGUACCUCUUUGGAAAUGAGUAAGAAGACGUGUGGAUGCUGCUCUCCUGUUUCUGUGCCAGCUGUUGUGGAGAGAUACAAGGAGUCAGCUGGGAGGCUAGAACCACAAUUGGUUCCUGACCAGCUCAUGGGAAAUCCUGUGGGCUGCACUGGCUUGUGCAGCUCAGCUCUGCUGCCAAGGAAG
ensembl:lncRNA